CUCAUUUAAGGGCUGGCAGUGGAGGUAAGAGGAUCUCCCUGGAGGCCUUCUAAAGAACCACUGGAGCACCCCCAUUUGACACACAUCAGGUUACAGUGGAAACAUCGUUAAAGAGCAAGCCUGGAACCAUACUCACUGCAUGAAUUUACAGGUAGGCCCUUCCGGACAGAAUCCUACUAGGUAAUUCACACAAAUGACUCUUCGAGUGUGCCGGUGUCUGCAGAGUGGACCUGCAACACAAAGCUCAAUGGUUCAUGUACCAUAUAUGCACACUGCAGCAUUAAAUAGCAGCAGGUACACAAAGCAGAUCAUGCAAGGAAAUACAAGCAACACCCUACCCUUCAUUUAAAGCCACAGAAGCAGCAACUACACAGCAUACAUACCGUGUUUACAGAAGCCUCUGUCAUACCAGGGACAGUCUUUGAUCUUAGAUUCCGGGUCAAUGUGCAAGAACGGACAUUCUUUGUUACUGCAUUCCCCUGUACCAAAGGCAAAUGCACUUCUUAGUUAAUGAUGCAGGUUUAAGAUCAAAUAACUCCUAAAAUGUUACCUGGAUCAUGUAGUUCCCACAAAGCUGUGACCAGCAUUCAUAAUAUCAGGCACAACAGUCUUAUUGCCUGACUUAACCUAGAGGAUGAACACCAAGCACUCACCCCUAGUGAGUGAAGUUCUACCAGACUAGAUUAUUUAUGGGUGCUUUUAAAAACAAUGCAGAAGCUGAUUUUGAAAGAGAUUCAUGAUAACAAAAACCAAACAUUUAGUGCACCAAAAGUGUGGAGAAACUACAAAUUGCGCACUAACCUCAAUCCAAGGAAACCUACAAGACUGUAAGUUUCUGACAGCAAGUUGCCUCAUUAUGUCCAGAUCUCCAGAGCUGGAAAGCAAGUGCAUAAAAGUUUUGCACCCCCAUGCCCUCUGCUGCUCAUCAACUCCCCAAAACAAGAGUCAUGCAAAGACCACCUGCUUAGCCUAUUCAACUCAUACUAAAGAGAGAACACAAAGUACAAAACCCAGUAACAAUGUGAACUUCCUCCCUCUUCCCCAAAGUGACAAGCUCUUCAGAGAGAAGACAUCUACAACACACAGCAGACUGAGGGGAAUAAAAAGAUAGAAGAGCUAAGCAGACCUGAAAAACUACAACCGAACAGUGUCAGCAGACAUGGAAGAACUGAAAUAUUCUGAAGAUGAAACAAGAUGGAUGUACCAGGAUCUUCUUCACCAGACUCCCACACUUGCAAGGAACACUAAGUAGGAGCUAUAACGCUUCUUACCAAAUUUGGAGUAGAAGUAACACUCAGGCAUCUUGGUCAUGUCAUACUCGUGCAGAAACUCGCACUGGUCUCCCUUUUUGCAUAGUCCUCGUAGCCAGUGUUUGCAAACAACAGUCUUUUCCCCACUGAUGUGUCUGAAUGGGCACAUACCUCCUACACGAGGAUGGGACAAGGAAAACGAAAGAGAAGAAUGAUUAAAAUCUGCAGCACAAGCAGGAACACAGCAACAACAGUGCUUCACUUGCCUCUACAAGAGGGGUUUUGGAAGAAUUCAGUUUUUCCUCUGACUUUGGUUUUUAAUGGCAAUGACAAACAAGGAGAUCCAGGGAAGUCCCAUUUUACCUUCUAACAAGCUGAGCACUGUAGUCUCCAGCUCUUAAUCUGAGCAACCACAACCCACAGAUACAACAGCAGUUAUAUCCACAGCAAACCCUGCACAAUUUGUGGAGCUAACCCAAUAUCCUUCAUUUUUAUCCUCUCUCUCAGCCCUCAUCUUAACAAAACCCACGAUUAUCAUACACAGUGCUAGCAAAUCUGACUCUCCUCCCUGCUAUAUGAGUGUAAGUGUACUGGAAAUACAACUUGCCUUUCCCACAUGCCGCUUUUAAAAAAAAUUCACAGACAGCUGCCCCUGAUUCUGUGGAGAGAAGAAACAUAAUAAACGUUAACAACCUUU